rnacentral:rRNA from 1 species
GAUGAACGCUGGCGGCGUGCCUAAUACAUGCAAGUCGAGCGAACAGAUGAGGAGCUUGCUCCUCUGACGUUAGCGGCGGACGGGUGAGUAACACGUGGAUAACCUACCUAUAAGACUGGGAUAACUUCGGGAAACCGGAGCUAAUACCGGAUAAUAUAUUGAACCGCAUGGUUCAAUAGUGAAAGACGGUUUUGCUGUCACUUAUAGAUGGAUCCGCGCCGCAUUAGCUAGUUGGUAAGGUAACGGCUUACCAAGGCAACGAUGCGUAGCCGACCUGAGAGGGUGAUCGGCCACACUGGAACUGAGACACGGUCCAGACUCCUACGGGAGGCAGCAGUAGGGAAUCUGCCGCAAUGGGCGAAAGCUUGACGGAGCAACGCCGCGUGAGUGAUGAAGGUCUUCGGAUCGUAAAACUCUGUUAUUAGGGAAGAACAAAUGUGUAAGUAACUAUGCACGUCUUGACGGUACCUAAUCAGAAAGCCACGGCUAACUACGU